rnacentral:rRNA from 1 species
UACGUAGGUGGCGAGCGUUGUCCGGAUUUACUGGGCGUAAAGAGCGCGCAGGCGGUCGUGCAAGUCGCGUGUGAAAGCCCCCGGCUCAACUGGGGAGGGUCACGCGAUACUGAUCGACUCGAAGGCAGGAGAGGGUAGUGGAAUUCCCGGUGUAGUGGUGAAAUGCGUAGAUAUCGGGAGGAACACCAGUGGCGAAGGCGACUACCUGGCCUGUUUCUUGACGCUGAGGCGCGAAAGCUAGGGGAGCAAACG